rnacentral:misc_RNA from 1 species
UCCGCUUUGUGUGCGGCAGUCUCCUUAGAUAUGCAACUAAGGACGAGGGUUGCGCUCGUUGCGGGACUUAACCCAACAUCUCACGACACGAGCUGACGACAGCCAUGCAACAUCUGUCUAUCCGUCCCGAAGGAGGCGCACCUUUCGGCGCGUUGCGAAUAGAUGUCAAGCCCAGGUAAGGUUCUUCGCGUCGCAUCGAAUUAAACCACACGCUCCGCUGCUUGUGCGGGUCCCCGUCAAUUCCUUUGAGUUUUAGUCUUGCGACCGUACUCCCCAGGCGGGCCACUUAAUGCGUUAGCUUCGGCACGGAAGGGGUCAACACCCCCCAUACCUAGUGGCCAUCGUUUACUGCUAGGACUAC